CUCAGAAGUGAGGGUUUCGCUUUCCCUUCUGGUUCUCCAAAUAUAUCUGGGACCACAAGGUGUGCGAGGUUUGUUGCAGAGACAGAAGGCGGCUGCAUCUGCAGAGCUGAGAAAAACUGGAUCUUGUUCACACUCAGCCAGAGGAAGACUCCUAGUUUCAGAGCCAACACCAAUGCAGAGCGAUGACCACAAACACAAGUCACUCUUAUCCGCAGCUGUUAUUAUACCUGAUAACAGGACUACGACUUGGAGGAAAUUGGACGGAGAUGAGGAACUUUCCCUGACUAGUGACCUACAGAGCCCAGGAGACAGAGAACUAUGCUGGGUUAAGUCCCCGGUGGCACUGGUGGCCGUCCUAGAGGACCCAUCAGAGACCUCACCACUCCCUGUUCCCUGCAGGCACUGCUCACUCGAGAUCGAGCCCACAUUCUGUUCUCUCUUCCCCAAGGGUGAGGUCACACCUCUUUCCAGCCUGACAGAAACAAGGAGCUGAAGGGAGAUCUCUGAGACCCCACUGCUGCCAUCAUGAGCUCAGAAAACCUCAGAGACCUCUCAGGAGGAUUCUUUACCACUGAGCCGCCUCUCCUGCGUGAGAAUCUGGUGUCUUCUUUUCUAAUCAGGACAACAAUCGUAUUGGAUUCGGGCCUCACACUUAUGACUUCAUUUUACCUCAAUUGCCUCCUUAAAGGCCCAAUCUUCAAAUACAGUCACUGGGGGUUAAAGCUUCAACAUAUGACUUGGGGGGUGAGGGCGGGAAAAGCAGGUCCAUCCAUGACCCAGGUGACUCUACCAACAGUGCCCCGGUGAUCACUCCUCAGGAAGAUGAAUUUUAACAAUGUAUACUAAAUAGCAUUUUUUUAAAAGAAUUGUUCUAGAAUUUAUUGCAGUUACCAUUUUAUGAUA